rnacentral:Y_RNA from 1 species
GGUUGGACCCAGUGCACUGGUGCUUACAACUAAUUGGUCUCAACCAGUUACAGAUUUCUUUGUUCCUUCUCCACACCCAGCCUUCACUCAACCAGCCUUAA